GUAGGGGGCAAGCGUUGUCCGGAAUUAUUGGGCGUAAAGAGCUCGUAGGCGGUUCGGUAAGUCGGGUGUGAAAAUCCAGGGCUCAACCCUGGGACGCCACUCGAUACUGCUGUGACUAGAGUCCGGUAGAGGAGCGUGGAAUUUCUGGUGUAGCGGUGAAAUGCGCAGAUAUCAGAAGGAACACCAGCGGCGAAGGCGGCGCUCUGGGCCGGUACUGACGCUGAGGAGCGAAAGCGUGGGGAGCAAACAGGAUUAGAUACCCUGGUAGUCCACGCCGUAAACGUUGGGCACUAGGUAUGGGGUCUUAUCAACGGAUUCCCGUGCCGUAGCUAACGCAUUAAGUGCCCCCGCCUGGGGAGUACGGCCGCAAGGCUA
rnacentral:rRNA from 1 species